rnacentral:rRNA from 1 species
UACGGAGGGUGCAAGCGUUAUCCGGAUUCACUGGGUUUAAAGGGUGUGUAGGCGGAUAUUUAAGUCAGUGGUGAAAUCUCCGGGCUCAACCCGGAAACUGCCAUUGAUACUAUUUAUCUUGAAUUCUGUUGAGGUGGGCGGAAUACAUCAUGUAGCGGUGAAAUGCUUAGAUAUGAUGUAGAACACCGAUUGCGAAGGCAGCUCACUAACCAGACAUUGACGCUGAGGCACGAAAGCGUGGGGAGCGAACAGG